rnacentral:rRNA from 1 species
GACGAACGCUGGCGGCGUGCUUAACACAUGCAAGUCGAGCGGUAAGGCCCUUUCGGGGGUACGACGAGCGGCGAACGGGUGAGUAACACGUGGGUGACCUGCCCUCAGCUCUGGGAGUAAGCCCGGGAAACUGGGUCUAAUACCGGAUAUGACUCCAUGACGCAUGUUGUGGGGUGGAAAGCCUUGUGCGGCUGAGGAUGGGCCCGCGGCCUAUCAGCUUGUUGGUGGGGUGAUGGCCACCAAGGCGACGACGGGUAGCCGGCCUGAGAGGGCGACCGGCCACACUGGGACUGAGAUACGGCCCAGACUCCUACGGGAGGCAGCAGUGGGGAAUCUUGCGCAAUGGGCGCAAGCCUGAUCCAGCCAUGCCGCGUGCGGGAAGAAGGCCUGGUGUAACG